UGCAAGUCGAGCGGUAACAGGGGUAGCUUGCUACCCGCUGACGAGCGGCGGACGGGUGAGUAAUGCAUGGGUAUCUGCCCGGUAGUGGGGGAUAACUCGGGGAAACCCGAGCUAAUACCGCAUACGUCCUACGGGAGAAAGCAGGGGAUCUUCGGACCUUGCGCUAUCGGAUGAGCCCAUGUCGGAUUAGCUUGUUGGUGAGGUAACGGCUCACCAAGGCGACGAUCCGUAGCUGGUCUGAGAGGAUGAUCAGCCACACCGGGACUGAGACACGGCCCGGACUCCUACGGGAGGCAGCAGUGGGGAAUAUUGGACAAUGGGGGAAACCCUGAUCCAGCCAUGCCGCGUGUGUGAAGAAGGCCUUCGGGUUGUAAAGCACUUUCAGUGGGGAAGAAGGCAUGAUGAUUAAUACUCGUCACGAAGGACAUCACCCACAGAAGAAGCACCGGCUAACUCCGUGCCAGCAGCCGCGGUAAUACGGAGGGUGCAAGCGUUAAUCGGAAUUACUGGGCGUAAAGGGCGCGUAGGCGGCUUGCCAAGCCGGAUGUGAAAGCCCCGGGCUCAACCCGGGAACGGCAUUCGGAACUGGUAGGCUAGAGUGCAGGAGAGGAAGGUGGAAUUCCCGGUGUAGCGGUGAAAUGCGUAGAGAUCGGGAGGAAUACCAGUGGCGAAGGCGGCCUUCUGGACUGACACUGACGCUGAGGCGCGAAAGCGUGGGUAGCAAACAGGAUUAGAUACCCUGGUAGUCCACGCCGUAAACGAUGUCGACCAGCCGUUGGACCCCUUGAGGGUUUGGUGGCGCAGUUAA
rnacentral:rRNA from 1 species